GGUGCCGUCCCCUCGCCGCGCAGCCCCGGCUCGGCGCUGCCCCGCCACAGCCACCGCGGCCCCGCUGCUUUUAGCAGGAGCGCUGCCGAGGCCUAGUGGGGUGGGGGAAAUGAAAGGAAAAGGAGGUUUUAGCGCCGGCAGCCGCCGCGCCCCGGCGGGAGGACCGGGAUCGGGGGAGCUCGGCGGGCGGCAGGGCGGCCUCCGCCGCGGCGCUUCUCCACGGCGGGCUCCACCUGCCCGCGGCGGGAGCGGAGCCGGCUCCGAUCCCGGUCUCGGUCCUGGACCCACCGCCCUCACUCGGCGCCCGCGGGGCAGCGGCUCCGCGCUCGGGGCCGCCCCGGCGGCGGCGCGGGCUCCGCUCCCCGAGGACAAGGUCAAGGAUGAAGGGUCAAUGUCAAGUUGUCUUAACGGUGGAAAGGCGACCGUGCACGGCGGCACUCCCUGCUUCCCGCGUUUCUGGUGUCCUUGAUUGAUUUGAAAGUGCCAUUUUGAGGGGAAAAACGCGCCGGGGCGCCGAGGAGACGCGAGGGCUUCGCUUUUCCUUCCCCGGGGCGAAGAAGCGAGGAUGGUACAGUACGGGGAUGUCACCGCCACUCUGCCUAACAGUAUUUAGUGUCUUAAAGUGCUUUGAUGGCCGGAUUGCUUUAGGUUUCAGGGACCCUCGGAGGACUGAAUUCUGCCAGGCGAACCCUCCGAGAGUUCAGAGUAAAGCUCCCAUCUUCUGUUAAUCACACCACAUAGCAAAAAUAAGUAAAGUGUAGCUGGAGUGCUGCAGGCCUCCUGCAAGCAAAGCUGUUCGGCCAGAAAACGCCUUCAAGCCUCUUCUACCGUGGGGGUCUCUCAAACGUCUUUGCAGAAAGUAACUCGUUAGUCCUGAUCGUUUCGUUUUGUCUCAUGAAUGACAAAGAUACUCCCCCUAAAACAAAAAGAAUUGUCCCAGUCGGAUGCAGAAUCAUCAGAAAAAAACACCUUCUGGUGGGAGAUCUUAUCGGCGAGCAUUACAACGAGUAAGAUAAGCUCCCUAAUUUGUCUAACACUCGUUGAAGAACAAAACACAGCUUGAGUGGCUCGGAGAGAGGGGUUGUGAGAAGGUGAGAAGGCGAAUAGAAACUUUCGCUGUGACUUGAACGUGAACUUCCUGCGACGUGGGGCAUGUGCAGGUUUUUACCUUCUCUUAACGUUCUGGAUCAAAUCCUUCCUGUUUUGAUCUAAUAUAGAUAUCAUUAUUUAAAAUAGGACUGUAAUAGACGUGAACGUCGUGUAACUAAUCUUGACAACAUACCUAUAGCUUCAGUUCGUGCCAGGAAUGAAUUGGACUUACUCCAGUUGCUAAAACUCGCUUUUCAGCCUUUAUUGUAGUUACUCUCUAGUAAUGUGUGGGUGGAUUUGUUUGUAGUUUAGCAUAGGCUUCUCUGGCAUUGCACCAUACCCUGUACUUAUUACAGAACUGUCUGUAACAUCGAACUGGGGGAAAAAAAAAAAGUGCAGGUGUGAGGGCAAAUUAAUUUAUCAUCCCUCCGGUCGGCUGUGGGGAGCUCGAAUUGUAAAGCUAACGUCAGCGGGCAAUAAAACCCUCUUGGCAAGCCCUGCCAACAUAAACUAGACCAGCAACACGAUAAAAUAAA